rnacentral:pre_miRNA from 1 species
AUUGGGGCCUGAUCCAAAGCCUGUUGAGGUCAAUAGGAGUCUUUCCAGUGAUUUCAGCAGUCUUUGGAUCAAGCCCUAAGAAU